AUUGAACGCUGGCGGCAGGCCUAACACAUGCAAGUCGAGCGGAUGAGUGGAGCUUGCUCCAUGAUCCAGCGGCGGACGGGUGAGUAAUGCCUAGGAAUCUGCCUGGUAGUGGGGGACAACGUUUCGAAAGGAACGCUAAUACCGCAUACGUCCUACGGGAGAAAGUGGGGGAUCUUCGGACCUCACGCUAUCAGAUGAGCCUAGGUCGGAUUAGCUAGUUGGUGAGGUAAAGGCUCACCAAGGCGACGAUCCGUAACUGGUCUGAGAGGAUGGUCAGUCACACUGGAACUUAGACACGGUCCAGACUCCUACGGGAGGCGGCAGUGGGGAAUAUUGGACAAUGGGCGAAAGCCUGAUCCAGCCAUGCCGCGUGUGUGAAGAAGGUCUUCGGAUUGUAAAGCACUUUAAGUUGGGAGGAAGGGCAGUAAGUUAAUACCUUGCUGUUUUGACGUUACCAACAGAAUAAGCACCGGCUAACUUCGUGCCAGCCGCCGCAGUAACAC
rnacentral:rRNA from 1 species